GCGCAAGAUAGGCCGGCAGGGUAGGGGUCUGCUGUAAGCACAAAUCCUCUUAUGGUGCGGCUGAUAGGCCAAUGGCGUAUAUAUCUUUUGUCUUAGGCCCACAUCCACAAGACAAUGAGAUCUAUGCCUGCAUGGAUAUACUUGCUAGAGAACCUGGUCAGGCCGGAAGGAGCAGCCAUAAUCUAGUAGGUAUAUGCUAUGCAGAAACAAGAUCAAGUCUUGAGAUGUGUAAGCUAAGGCAGGAGGUAUAUGCCACAUUGGCCAUUCUUGCGC
rnacentral:SRP_RNA from 1 species